AAAAUAAAAAUAUAAUGGGAAUUAGAUAAUUCUCACCGUAAAAUGUAGUAUCUCAGAUCACCUCCUUCAAAUCUCAAGUCACCCUCUCACGAUCCCUCUCUUCCUCUCAAAAUUCCUUCAAAUUGAAGUCUCAUCUUUCUAAAUUUUCAGCAACCAAACUUUCAAGAAAAUAAGAAGAAAAUAGCAGUUGGAGAAUUGGAGAAAUAAAGUAAAGGAAACCGCUGCCAAGAGGUUACUAUGUUACGCGAGAUGUUGUUUUGAUUGGAGGGGUAUAUGAAAGUAUUUGAAUUUUGAUAAAAGGGUAAAGUUGGAAAAUAGAGCAGCAUCACCUUGGUAGUAUAUGGGGACAGACAAAAAUAAAACCCAAACCACAGGGAAACUACAACUAUGAACAUCAUAGUUACUAUACGCACAUAAAUACCUGGGAGAGUUAUG
rnacentral:lncRNA from 1 species